GCUAGCGUAGCUUAAAAUAAAGCAUAGCACUGAAGAUGCUAAGAUGGGCCUUAAAAGCUCCGCAUGCA
rnacentral:tRNA from 1 species